CUACGUGCCAGCAGCCGCGGUAAUACGGAAGGUCCGGGCGUUAUCCGGAUUUAUUGGGUUUAAAGGGAGCGUAGGCUGGAGAUUAAGUGUGUUGUGAAAUGUAGACGCUCAACGUCUGACUUGCAGCGCAUACUGGUUUCCUUGAGUACGCACAACGUUGGCGGAAUUCGUCGUGUAGCGGUGAAAUGCUUAGAUAUGACGAAGAACUCCGAUUGCGAAGGCAGCUGACGGGAGCGCAACUGACGCUUAAGCUCGAAGGUGCGGGUAUCAAACAGGAUUAGAUACCCUGGUAGUCCGCACAGUAAACGAUGGAUGCCCGCUGUUGGUACCUGGUAUCAGCGGCUAAGCGAAAGCGUUAAGCACUCCGCCUGGGGAGUACGACCGCAAGGUUGAAACUCAAAGGAAUUGACGGGGGCCCGCACAAGCGGUGGAGCAUGUGGUUUAAUUCGAAGCAACGCGAAGAACCUUACCAGGUCUUGACAUCCCUCUGACCGCUCUAGAGAUAGAGCUUUC
rnacentral:rRNA from 1 species